AUUGAACGCUGGCGGCAGGCUUAACACAUGCAAGUCGAGCGGGGGAAGGUAGCUUGCUACCGGACCUAGCGGCGGACGGGUGAGUAAUGCUUAGGAAUCUGCCUAUUAGUGGGGGACAACAUCUCGAAAGGGAUGCUAAUACCGCAUACGUCCUACGGGAGAAAGCAGGGGAUCUUCGGACCUUGCGCUAAUAGAUGAGCCUAAGUCGGAUUAGCGAGUUGGUGGGGUAAAGGCCUACCAAGGCGACGAUCUGUAGCGGGUCUGAGAGGAUGAUCCGCCACACUGGGACUGAGACACGGCCCAGACUCCUACGGGAGGCAGCAGUGGGGAAUAUUGGACAAUGGGGGAACCCCGAUCCAGCCAUGCCGCGUGUGUGAAGAAGGCCUUAUGGUUGUAAAGCACUUUAAGCGAGGAGGAGGCUACUCUAGUUAAUACCUAGGGAUAGUGGACGUUACUCGCAGAAUAAGCACCGGCUAACUCUGUGCCAGCCGCCGCGGUAA
rnacentral:rRNA from 1 species